GAUGAACGCUGGCGGCGUGCCUAAUACAUGCAAGUCGAGCGAACGGACGAGAAGCUUGCUUCUCUGAUGUUAGCGGCGGACGGGUGAGUAACACGUGGAUAACCUACCUAUAAGACUGGGAUAACUUCGGGAAACCGGAGCUAAUACCGGAUAAUAUUUUGAACCGCAUGGUUCAAAAGUGAAAGACGGUCUUGCUGUCACUUAUAGAUGGAUCCGCGCUGCAUUAGCUAGUUGGUAAGGUAACGGCUUACCAAGGCAACGAUGCAUAGCCGACCUGAGAGGGGGAUGGGCACCAUGGAACCUGGAAACCGUCCCAGACUCCACGGGAGGGCAGCAGAGGGAAACCUGCGGAAAGGGGGGAAAGCCGAAGGGAGCAAGGCGGCGGGGGUGAGGAAGUCCUUCGAUUCGUAAACCUCUGUUAUUAGGGAAGAACAUAUGUGUAAGUAACAGUGCACUUCUGAAGGGAACCUAAGCAGAAAGCCAGGGCUAACUACGG
rnacentral:rRNA from 1 species